UGAAUAUUAACCACGUCCCCGUCAUCAUUUUCGCGGAGAGUCCAGUCACGUGACACGAUCAUUAUUCAUAAACCGAGCUCUCGCCGCGCCCACUUUCAAAACGCCUCCGUUUCAGCCAAUCAGGCGGGACUGCCACGCGAGCGUCCCGUUACGUCAUUAAUAUUCAUGAGCCAGGCCUUCGGCGUAGUAGCGCGCGCUGGAUUCGCAUCCUGGAUGGAGCGCCACGUCGCACAGCGGAGACGCGCGUCCUGCGAUCAGCGUCGCUCUGGAGAGGAGAGCAAUCAUGGUGAAGAGCGUGACUCAGAAGUCAGUCCCGGAGUGGAACUCAUGAAGGAGAAGAAGAACACACAGACACACACCCGUCCGCAGCAGAUGGCGGGAAAGAGC
rnacentral:lncRNA from 1 species